rnacentral:rRNA from 1 species
GCCAAAAACCUAGUCCUACGCCCUCUAAUUAACUCCCCCCUCUUUCACUCAUCAAACAAAACAUUUUACUGUUUAGUAAAGGCGAUUGAAAAACACCUAGGAACCACAACCAAAGUACCUCAAGGGAAAGGUGAAAUAGAAGUGAAAUAAAAAUCAAGCACAACAAAGCAGAGACCCAUCUCGUACCUUUUGCAUCAUGGUUUAGCAAGUCAAAUCAAGCACAAAGAAUUUUAGUCUGACCUCCCGAAACCAGAUGAGCUACUUCGAAACAGCCUAUUUAGGGCUAACCCGUCUCUGUUGCAAAAGAGUGGGGAGAUUUCCAAGUAGAGGUGAUAGACCUACCGAAUCUGGAGAUAGCUGGUUAUUUAGGAAAAGGAUAUAAGUCCUACCUUAAGUUUUCCUGCACCAUCUAAUACUUACUUUAACUUAAGAGCUAUUCAAAUAAGGUACAGCCUAUUUGAAACAGGAUACAACCUACAAUACAGGGUAACAUUCCCGGCACGUGUCCAAGUGGGCCUAAGAGCAGCCAACUUUUAAAAAGCGUUAAAGCUUCACCACCAAGCCCCCAUAAUCCCCCCAUUAAACUUCAACCCUUUAAUAGUACUAAAUAAUUCUAUGACCUUAUAGAAGUUAUAAUGCUAAAACUAGUAACAAGAAGAAGACCUUCUCCUAAAUGUAAGUGUAAGCCAAAAAGAACAAUUCACUGGCACUUAACGUCCCUGACUCUCAAGCGGCAACCACACAAGAAAACCCCGCUUCCAUCAACGUUAACCUCACACAAGAACAUUACAGGAAAGAUUAAAAGAAGUGGAAGGAACUCGGCAAAUAUUAACCCCGCCUGUUUACCAAAAACAUCGCCUCCUGCCACAAAUAGGAGGUCCAGCCUGCCCAGUGACCAUGUUAAACGGCCGCGGUACCCUAACCGUGCGAAGGUAGCGCAAUCACUUGUUCUUUAAAUGAGGACUAGUAUGAAUGGCAUCACGAGGGUUACACUGUCUCCCACCUCUAAUCAAUGAAACUGAUCCCCCCGUGAAGAAGCGGGGAUAAGAAUAUAAGACGAGAAGACCCCAUGGAGCUUUAAACUCAGUAUCAACCACCAAGACUCAUAACAUAAAAAUAGGGGGCCCUGAUUACUAGUUUUUGGUUGGGGUGACCGCGGAGUAAAAUGAAACCUCCACAAUGAAUGACACCUCCCCUCUUAUCCAAGAGCCUACAACUCUAAGAAUCAAUAUAUUGACAUCCAUUGACCCAAACAACUUUGAUCAACGAACCAAGUUACCCUGGGGAUAACAGCGCAAUCCAUUUCAAGAGCCCCUAUCGACAAAUGGGUUUACGACCUCGAUGUUGGAUCAGGGUGUCCCAGUGGUGCAGCCGCUACUAAAGGUUCGUUUGUUCAACGAUUAAAACCCU